AGAGUGGCGAACGGGUGAGUAAUAUAUCGGAACGUGCCCAGUCGUGGGGGAUAACGCAGCGAAAGCUGUGCUAAUACCGCAUACGAUCUCUGGAUGAAAGCGGGGGACUCGCAGGGGCCUCGCGCGAUUGGAGCGGCCGAUAUCAGAUUAGCUAGUUGGUGGGGUAAAACCCCACCAAGGCGACGAUAUGUAGCUGGUCUGAGAGGACGACCAGCCACACUUGAAAGGAGACACGGUCCAGACUCCUACGGGAGGCAGCAGUGGGGAAUUUAGGACAAUGGGCGCCCGC
rnacentral:rRNA from 1 species